UACGUAGGGUGCGAGCGUUAAUCGGAAUUACUGGGCGUAAAGCGUGCGCAGGCGGUUCUGUAAGCCAGAUGUGAAAUCCCCGGGCUUAACCUGGGAACUGCCUUUGUGACUGCAAGGCUAGAGUACGGCAGAGGGGGAUGGAAUUCCGCGUGUAGCAGUGAAAUGCGUAGAUAUGCGGAGGAACACCGGUGGCGAAGGCGACGUCCUGGACCGGCAUUGACGCUGAGGCGCGAAAGCCAGGGGAGCAAACGGG
rnacentral:rRNA from 1 species